AUUGAACGCUGGCGGCAGGCUUAACACAUGCAAGUCGAGCGAGCGGCGGACGGGUGAGUAAUGUCUGGGAAACUGCCUGAUGGAGGGGGAUAACUACUGGAACCGGUAGCUAAUCCCGCUUACCUUCGGAUGUGCCCAGAUGGGUUUAGCUGGUGGGUGGGGUAAUGGCUCACCUAGGCGACGAUCCCUAGCGGGUCUGAGAGGAUGACCAGCCACACUGGAAAUGAGACACGGUCCAGACUCCUACGGGAGGCAGCAGUGGGGAAUAUUGCACAAUGGGCGCAAGCCUGAUGCAGCCAUGCCGCGUGUGUGAAGAAGGCCUUCGGGUUGUAAAGCACUUUCAGCGAGGAGGCGUUACUCGCAGAAGAAGCACCGGCUAACUCCGUGCCAGCAGCCGCGGUAAUUC
rnacentral:rRNA from 1 species